rnacentral:lncRNA from 1 species
UCACUAAUAGCCAUUGGCCUUAUUACAUUCAAAGAAAAAGAUCAUAACUAUUUGGUCCUAGAAGGACCUUCCCCAGACUCGGCAUCUUUGGCUCCAUCGAACAGCUUCACCAGCUCAUGAAGUCCUAGCAUCAAGUAGGCUCUAGCCAGGUGUCCACCUUUGUUUCCCUCAGCAUUCUAGCAAUCUUCGAUCCUCUGGAUGAACUUACUCUCUAGCUCCACUAAAACCCGCUCCUAAUCUCCCAGUCGCUUGUUGGUGCUGACAACCAUGUUUUCCAUUCUUCAAUAGCUUUUGAUGGGCUUCUUGAAUUUCCCGGUGCUCACUUUCGCAUUCCUGAAUCCUCUUGUGCAAUUGGUUUUACUUAACCUAUACUUCAACCUUUAUGUUGAUGAUCCUGUGACCUUGAACAAACCCAGGUUGUCCUAACCGAUUAUGAUCGUCCUCCAACCAGCUUGGAUAGUAUGGAGUACAACCAGCAUGGUACCUAUAUAGCUCAAUAGUAUCUCUUCCCUUGAUGAUUUUGCAGUGGCACUUGUGCUGGGAUUUGCA